rnacentral:lncRNA from 1 species
AGCUAUCUCUUCAUGGCUUACCAAGAAAAACCCACCAGCCAUGGCAAAAAUCCUACUCUGCAACUGGGUUAUACCUUAACUUCACAUCUUUACACUGCAAAUUUGACCUGUACAAUCUUCAUCUUUGUCUAAUAUAUGUGACAUGUUGAAUAUCAAUAGAUUAUAGAUAUUGGCUGGGUACUUUCUGUUAGGGAUUGUUACCAGUCUAAGCCUUUGUGCUUGUUGAGGAAUAGACUGUGCCCUCCUUUCCUGCUGUACAACGCAAAACCUGGAAAUGGUAAGAGAAAACACUUUUAGACGCAGGAUAUUGGACUCAUUAGUUUAUAUCCAACAAGUUCUAAAAACCCGAGUCAUGAAUAAACAGUUCGAAAUAAUUCAUUUUCUGAGUUGUUGGUAAGAUACCCAAUGAACAGUUGAAAAUAUAUCAGGUAGAUUUGGCACUAAGGUUUAUAAAAGAACAGGCAUGGCUAGAAAACAGUAUUCUGGAAGUUAGAAACCAAGGAAAAUACCAUUAGUACCCAAGGGGAAUAGCAAAAGAAUAUCAUCCAUAGGAGUGUGAAGUUCUCCAACAGUGGAACGGAAGGAAACAAAAUCUUGGAUGCCUUUUCAUUUUGAUAAGCAUAGAAACCAUUCAAUGCUUUCUUUUACUUAAACCACUACUGUAUCUAGUGAGGAACUUCACUUUUAUCGUACCGCUUGAAGCUAUGAUAUCUGGAUCCUUCAAUUUUACCUAAUGUCCCCUCAUCGACAUGACAUGAUAUGGGUGUGAUAGGAUCCUUAUUGGACACUCUUAUUUUACUUCGGAUGUGUCAGUUUGAAUUUUUUUUUUUAUUCCCUCAACUUUCUUGGUAAUAAUUACAUUAGCGAAGAAAAGUUAGCUGAAAGGUGAAUUAUUGUAAGAAAAUUUAGGGAAAAGAGGAAAAAAAGGGGGGAGUAGAGGGAAAAGAUGGAAGCUUCUAAAAAUAAUAUUUUCACUACUAAUUUUUUUUAAUUGAUUUUUCUUUAUACAUGGUAUACCAAUAUCCAUGCCCCUUUUUUGGAUCCCUUUUGUCCAAGUCCCCGUAACCUAAAAUUUGAAUUGUGGAGGAUCAGAAGGUAGACAUAUACCUGCACCAAUACUCAAACUGAACUCAUGCAACAUAUGUUUGAAGCAUAAAUUUUUGUAAUUUCAAUUUCUCAAACCAAGACGGGUCGACUGGUUAAAUGAUUUGCUUCUAAAAUAAAUAUUCAUUAUUUUUCAACUAACAAAAGAGUAGAUAAGGAGAACAGAGAUGUACUUACCUCAAGUUAUUGCAUCCUUUAUUGACAAAUGAGCUGAUAUGAUGUGCAUAGCCAUUUCUUGCAAAUUUCUCCAUGAAUGAGAUGCCUACUGCGAUUAUCACAUAUGUAUAAUAUUGUUAGGAAGAUAUUCACAAAAUGCUGCCACAUGAUGAAGAAAGAAAUUUUCGACAGCUUAUAGUUCUCAGCAAAGCUUUAAAAGAAAAAAACACAAAGAAACUAGACCCUUGGAAAAAAAAACAUGUUUUGAAGAAACCAGACCACAAUAGCUUAACAAAGACUUGAAAAGAUGGUAACAACAUUCCCUUGCAAUUUGAAUUAGGAAACAUAACACUGAAGAUUAUUCUACUAUUAGUAGCCAUAGAAGCUACAACCUUCUGGCCAUCAAGUAGAAGAUUUAGCAAAAUAUGAAAUAUGUUACCUUCAAUUAACAAAUAAAUUUGUUUCUAAUAAAAACUAAGGAGGGGAACACAAUUUAAGUUUUCUAGUUUAAAUAUAAGAAACUGAUUACUAUUCUUCGUAGACAGUAAUCAAAUAUUCAGCUACAAAUGAGCAACUGAGCACCAAUUAGUCGAAUGUUAGGCUAGAUGUUCCCUUAAUUUUCCAUGUAUGGACCUAACCUUAUGCUUCAAUAGGCAGACAUCUAGCAAGGUAUGAAAAGUUAACAUAUAAGCAGAGACAUUUUAUUUUAGGCAAACAAGAAGUAUACAGGAAUUAUUUAAACAGCACUGAACCAACAAAGAUGAGAAAGGACAAAAGAAAUAUAACUCUAAUAGCUCACUUCCAUCAAUAAGUUUCUAGCCAAUCAACAAAAUUUGAUAAUAGACAAUGAGAACUGAUCUAAAAACUUACCAGCCCAAAGCCUAAGCAAGAUAAGCAAGAAGUUCUCGAGAGCAUGAUCUUCUUGUGCCACAUUUUCAAACGCUCUCAAUUGCUCUCCUCCCCAACAGUCUAGAAUAAGCACAACAGGCAACCCUCUACACAUUCCCAUGUUUCUUUCCCACAAAGGUCUCAUGCCAACUUAAUAGAGUCUCUCAAACUGUAGAAGACAACACCCACACAAAGCCAAACAAGGAGAAUAACUAGUGCCACAAGAUCUUCAUGUUAGCACAAUGAAAAAGGUUCAUUCCCCAAGGUCCAUCCUCUUCUUUUUUAUAUUACCCAAAGUCAACAUCCUUCCCUAAAUUGUUUUCCAUGCAAAGAACUCAAACUCUUGUCAACACCCAAGAGUUACAAACUACAUUUACUGAAAAAGUUCAUACCCAUCUUGGCUCCAAACAGGAGUAGAAGGCUUUAGAAAUUUCUGACCUCUGAACCCCUCCAACACAAUCUAUCUUCCUCGUCCCUCCUCAUUGAUUGCUUUUCCAGCUGCAAAAGAAAAGCCUCAACAUUUUCCAGCCCCCAGUCAUGGAAUGUGUCUUAAGAAACAAGGGCUCCAAUGCCCCUGUUUGGAGACAUCGUUCCAAAAACACACCCGAACCUACCUGCCUUUCCACCCCCCAAAAAAUAAUUACAAUGAUAAUAACAACAUAUUAAAUACAUAAACAAAUAAGGUAAAUAAAAAUCAAAGCAAAAAAAAAAAAAAAAAAGGAAUCAUAACCGACAAUUUAAAUAAUAAAUCGGGAUCAUCUUGAAUAAAUCCUCUACAAUAAAGAAAAAAAUUAAGCUAAAAUGAAAUGGAUAUAAAACUGCAACAUGAUAUACCUUGCAUCCUGUUAUCUCCAAAUGUCUAAAGCAUUUGCUUUCCUCUAUAACUGCGAUGCCAUCCUUUUGGUUUCAUGUUUCUUUUAUUGAUCCACUUAUCUGCAUCCAAUAAAGAUAUCCAAACUCACACCCAGUUCAGUUCCUAAAAUCUAGAACAUUUCUUGUUUUCUUCAUGCCCGGCGAUACCCUGGAAGUCAGAUUAGUAAAUUUAGCAACUGAUAAGUGCAAAUGAUGAUGUAAUAAAAUGAACUUGCAAAUAAACAACAUUUAACUAAAUGAAGCUGUAUCACCACAGUGAUAGAUUGAACCAUUUUCAUUUUCAUGUUACUUGCAAAAGAAUUGGAAGGGAAAACAAAAGCAUUGGCUUUUAUUUCAGCUGGAGAUUCACACCUGCCCAGGAGAUAAACAUACUCCCCCUCCCUCUGCUGGAUAUUCUCCCUUUCAUAGACAAGAAAAAUCUCAUUCUUAUUUAACCUUCCAUUCUAACUCAUCCUUGUCAAACUUUCAACUGGUGUAGAUGCAAAUCAAGCGGAGGCAUCCAUACAAGCAAGCAUGCUAUGAUGAUUGAGGACUAAAUGCUUCUCAUUGCUAUAUUUGUUCUGCAGUCCAGCAUCUCAGCCUCAGUUGGCACCCUUAUUUAACUACAAAAUAAAAAAGAGAAUGCAGGUUUAAUACAUUUGAACAAUGAUUAAAUCAUACUAGUAAGACCUUGAGAUUAUGUUUUGUCAGAUGUAAUUUUGAUGAUUACUCUGCUUUAACCUUGGAAGCAUUGGCAUGUUAAUGUCUUAUUUUUCCAUGUAUGAAAAUAGUAAUUACACUCGUAUGAAAGCACAUUUCUAAAAGGUUACAAGUUGUUGAUCAGAAAUCAUAUUUUACAUAUAAAGACAUCUAGAAUCAAAACCUUGUUCUUUUCCCCCAAAGGGUAGUAGGUUUUACAUCUGAUGUGAAAUUUGUAUUCUAACCCUUUAUUUAAUUGCUGAAAAAUGAAUGAAAAAAAGACAGAUUUUUCUAUUGACUUCAUUUAAAAUGAGAAACUCAACUCAUCAAUGACAAAAAAUUGAAUUAGGAUCAGUUGUGCUGGGGUUUCAGGUAUCUCAGAACAUCAAAAGCAUUUAAAGAAGUAAGCUUCAAAAAAAUUGAUGUUUACUCUUUUCCUACAUUUUUCAUUAAGCAAAUGGACGUGAAAAAUAAUCUUUUGUAAAAGUGGAGUCCUUUUCCUCAAAAUUAGUUUUGGGUUUUCAUCAAGAAGCCUUGUUUAUGAGAGUCAUCAAUUCUUUCAAUCCAGAUCCUAUACUCAUGGCAUUAUUUUUAUAUUUUUUGAUAGGCAAAUAUCCAUUAUAUUAACCACACCUAACCAAGCAGGGAAUUAAAGUUUACACAGUUUGUACAAAGGCACCAAAAGGCCAUACCAAGUGGAGAUAUACUCAUGGUAUAUCUUGAGCCGCUAUUUCAGCAUCUCUUUGUAAUACAAUGCUUUUCUUACUUAUCAAAAUAAUAAUAAUAAUAAUAAUAAUCCAGAUAGAUCAAGAUCAGAGGGUAUAAUUUAUUGCCCUGCACACUUAACAGCAAGAAAACCCUUCUAAAGAAGUUUGACCAGGUAGCCCAUGCCAUAUAUUCAAUAACAUGUUCAAUAUAGUUGUGGAAAUUCAAAAACUUUCAGCACUUAACACUCAAUAGAGAUAUAAUUCCAAUGAAUAAUAAUCUAUUUAAACACUUCUUUCCGGUAGAACAUAGAAUCAAUGAGAGGGGGUGUAGAAAAGAAAAGGUAGGCCCAACCAAAGGUGUGCCAGUGGUCACUUCGAAUCAAAUCUCCAAAGGAAACUGGAGUCAUUGGUACAACACCAUAGCAUCACAUUAGAGAAUCUCCUGCAAAAUGAGUUCAGAAAACUCUGAACCCUGGUCAUUUAAGAACACAGAGAAGAAAGAUUUUACCUGGACUACCAAUCUCAAAAAGAGGGGAAAAAUGAUGAACCCAACAUGGUCAUCCAGCUAGUCUCAGAAAGGAAGAGAACAUGUCACAUGACACAACACAGAUAUGCCAACCAGAAAUCGUGAAGAAGUGGGACAGGGAAGAGAGAGAGAGUGCCUAUAUUCAUGCAUACAUGCUUGUAUACAAGCGCACACAAAUGGUCUUGGGAAUAGAUUGUGCACCACAGAGAAAAUAAGACACGGGCACCAGACAAGAAGAGGAGGAUUAAAAAUGCCCUCCAAACUCCUCCAGCAGAAAGGCCCCUCUUUUAGCCUAGAUAUCAGCUUCUUCAAUGAUGCCUUGCAAAGCCAGUUUGUCUGAUGCUCUAUCAUGGGAAAUAUGCACUCUCUCAUAUUAAAUGUGUAGACCUACAAGGACCCAAGUUGUUAGACAAAGCCCACUUCAUUUCUAAAUAAAUAAAUAAUUAGUGGACAAAUCACAACCUCCCUUCAAUCUAUUCCAACCCACCAGGUAAAUCUUCUCAAAUCCCCUAAAAAAAAAAAGCCCUUCCCCUGCUGAUGUGGCAAUCAUUCAUGUGGCAAGUGAUAAUCUUUAGUGCCCUCCAUAUCUCCCUUCUGUCUCUCCCCUGCCUUUACUCACUCAUAAUACCCAAGGAAGUCCCCUGAACUUCUUAGUGACCGAGAUCAUGAUGAGUAAACAACUUUUACCAAACUAAUUCCUCAUGGUUUUUGACUUAUCCUAAACUGUGUUACAGAGUUCCUUCCCAAUCAAAUAAUCCAAAUUAGACCAAAGCAUAAAAACCAUACUGUCUUGCGUCUACCUCCUCCAGUGUCCUAGAACCUUAUAACCAAUAUAGAGGAGAUUUCCAGAAGGAACCACCCAACUUAAGGCUGCUAAGUUAAGCCUCCUCCCAUGAUGCAAGUAAAAGAAGGCAAUGCAAGAACAAGCUAUCACUAUUUUCAUCAUUUCUUUGCAGACUAAACAAAUGCCCAUCGUUAAGGAUUUAUUGGAUCUCCUAGUUUGAAGCUUAUUAUUGGUGUUCACUUUGUUACGAGCCACUAUUAAAGCUGAUGCCUAAUCUUGGGAGAGAGCUUUCCCUUCCAAAUCCUUUUCUACUCUUGAUCAGAUCUAAAACUUUUUGCAAGAAGAAAAUACAAGAACUUGUUUCCCUGAUUAAGAAAUGGAAAUAAAGUUUCAAAGAAAAAAUAAUUAUGUUCAAGGGACUAAAUCUAAUCAUCUUGGAUUAGAAGAGGCAAGCAUAAUGUAAGGUAUCAAGAAGAGAAGUCACCUCAGAGUAUUCUUGGUUGUUGAGCUUCCAAACAAAAUAAAAUUCCCAAGAGAAUUCACUAACAUAGAAUAGGAAUAUUACCAAAAAAGGUAAUUCUUAUGUAAGAUGGCAAAGAUGGGAAAAAGGCUGAUAAAAGACUCAUUACCCAUCGACUGUCCGAGAACCAAACAUGAAAAUCAUUGCAAAUACAGUAGCUCAUGAGAGGGGCCAACAAAGGAAACUUCAAGCAAGGAAUUUUCAAUGACAACGGUACAAAUCUGUUGUCACCAAAAGAAGCAUCCUGCCUAUUCUCCUAAAACCGUAUGAUCUCUUGACUACUAGGGACAAUAAAUGCCCAUACUCCCUAGCAAAUCUCCAUCCCAUUUCUAUAAAUCACCUUGCCUAAACUUGUGCCCCUCUUUAUAUCGGACUAGCCAACAGUCUUCCAAUUAACUAAAUGAAUUUUCUUACUAACACCUGCCCCAGUCCAUAUGAAAUCCUUUAGAAGUCUGCCAAUCCUAUUAAUUACCUUGACUCACAUCUUGAAUAAAGAUAAGAAACAGGUGAGGGACUAUUGAUCUUAACUUAAAGGAAGCCCAAGGAAUUUAAAUGGCUGUUGUCCUAUCUUAGAACCUCAAGCAAUGACCAAAUUUUUCCAAACCUCCUUAUCCAUAUUAGUGUCUAAAAGCACACUUUUCACCAUAUUCAUCUGAUGAACAAGACCCUCCCAGAAGAGGUAAUAACAAGCUUCAAAUGCCUUACUCUUUCCCUCUUCCUAAUUUCCCCACAGAAAACAAAGUAGUAUCAUCAGCAAACUCUCUCUUCACCAAUUCCAGAACACCAAAUGACAUCUAUCUCAAAAACCUCCACUACAAGCCUAUUCUGCACUUCAGUUACGAAUACAAACAAUAAAAGAGAGAUGGUCUCCCUGCUUAAAAACUCUCAAGGCUUCAAAUCAUCCUUUAGGUUCACUAUUGAGGAUAACCACAAAAUUAGAUGAUUCAAACAUUUCUUAAUUCAACUCCUGAAAAAGGAAACCUUUCUUAGGUAAGACCUACAGGAAGCCCUAACCCAGACAAUCAUUGAUUUUUCAAAAAUAGAUCUUUAAAAACCUCCCCCUACUUGCUAGACUUUCAAAGCUCUUUGACAACCUCAUGGGCAAUCAAGGUCUGAUCAACAAGCUUUAUAUCCUUGGUGAAGUCUUCACAGAGAAAGAAUGCAUGCCCUGAAGCACUUCUCUCUGUCACUCAAGAUGAAUUAGGCAAUGACUUCAACUCAGUUGGAUCAGAUCAGAUUAGAAGUCAACCUUGCCUCAACCAGAGAAAUAACAUCCUUAACCUACAGCCAAGGCAAAAACCCAACCUCCUGCCAACUGAACAGCCCAACCCAAGGUGAAGCCAAAGAAGCUAAAUCAGAUUAGUAAAGUUUGAAGUAAUUAUUAGAGUAGAAGGCUGUUAGAAUGAGGUAGUUAUUAGAGUAGAAGCCCUUGUGUUCUCUACUUGUUUGCAGUAAGUCUCCAAUAUUAACUUUCUUAGAAGCCACAACCUAUGAGAAGCUUUUAACCUUGGGGAUGCAGGCUUCUCCAACCCAAAUAAGUUUAAAAUAGAAAGACUGAAGAGAAAGAUCAACACCUGAAAAAUCUUUACAAAAUUUCAUCAAUGAAACAGAGUCGACUAUCUUUCCACAUGCUUAAUCAGGAUUCUACCCAUUAGAAUGUCUCACACAUACCAAAUCUCAAAAAAAAAAAAAAAAAAAAUGGUAGGUGUAAGUAUAAUACAUUGCCAAAAGUCAUAACCAAACAAGAGGGAACUACAAAAAACCACUCCCUCCCUAAAAGGGAAUCCAACAAAUCAAUUAAAUGCAUUAAACCUUCAACUAGAUAUAUUGCCAAAACCACUCCCUCCCUAAAAAGGAAUCCAACAAAUCAAUUAAAUGAAUUAAACCUUCAACUAGAUAUAACUUAGUCCACCAUAAAAGAUUACUAAGAACAGUGUUUUUUAGUCUUUGGUUAGUCGCAUUUGCAAACGAUCUUCAACUUGUUUUUCUUUACCGUCCAAAAAAUACACAAAAGAGCUAUUUGCACCAAUUUCUUUCAUUUUUUUCCUACAAAGGAAUUAUGUCAUCCUAAGAAAAUCUCUUUAACCAUGGAAGAUAUCACCCAAGAUAUGCCAAACAAAAAGAGAAAAAAAAAUUGUCAUAAACCCUUGUCUUGAUACAAUGAAGGGGAGUGCAAUCAUUGGAUUCUUUCUCAUUCUUGCAAAGAAAGCAUCUAUUUACCAACAAACCACCCUCUUCUCUAAAGUUGAUGUAGAAUCAAUACUUUUCCCCAACUCGCCUCCCAUGGAGGAAAACUCACUUUCGACAACUCAAGAGUUCCAAAUUACUCCUAUUGAGAAAGGAAUUGAUCUCCCCAACUUCAAUAUUGAGUAUGAAGCUUUGACAGACGUAGUUCCAUUCUUUGACUCCAUCCAAAUCACCUUAUCUUCCCCUUCUCUAUUCACCAUCUUGCCUUGUAGUCUAGAAAAAAAAACUCUCCACAUUGUCCAACUCUCAACCAUUCAAAUUCUUAGAGAAACAAAGAUUCCAGUAAACCCCUUCCCUUGACUAGUCCCACAAAUCCACCACCUAUGUCUCUUUCGAUACAACUAAUGCAUACAAUGAUGGGAAGGAUACACAUAAAGGUUUAUCUCAAUACCAUUUAUCCCUUCAAAACUUCACUCUCCUCCUAGUAACCAUAGGAAAGGAGACUACUAUUAAAAAGAUCACAAUCUUUUCUAAUAGCUUUCUAUAACCAAACACCAUGCUCAUCUCUCACCUUACAAGAAUGCCACAAUGCCCCUUGCCUAGGGCCAUCUUCAUAUUGUUCACCUAUGACCUACUUCGAGAGAGCUACCCUUUCAGAUGCAUAUCACUAACUUCACUUACAACGAAAGACCUUGUUGAGCGAAUAGAGACAUCUAACACCCAAGCUCCCCUUCCUCUUGUUUGUGUAGAAAAUAGCCUACUUUAUUAAAGUUGUUUUCUCUCUAGAGUGAACUUCCCUCCUUUGGAAUCCUACACAUUACAACUAAAGGAAAAGCCAAGUAGUUAAAAGCUCUCCCACCUUGCAACUUAUCUCUGGGGCUAAGUACUCCAUGUUAUCCACCCUUCCAAUCAAAAUCAACUCACUCAUCUCUAAAUUUAUUUUCAGCCCUAAGAUGGCUUUAAACCGCCUGAGCAACUAGUUUAAAUGAGUUAUCUAAUCUUGAGAAGCCUCACAAAAAAUAGUAGUAUCAUCAGAAAACAACACAUGGGAUACUUUCACCCCCUCACCUCUUCUAGCCCUCACCUUAAACCCCAAUAGGAAUCCCACCCCCCACCCACCCUUGGCCCAAAUAAGAAAACAACUAAGAGCCUUCAUGGCUAACAUAAAUAAGAAAGAAGAUAGAUAUCCCCUUGUCUCAAGCCCCUAGAGUUUUGAAAAGUGCCAGAAGUGGUGCCAUUAACAAGAAUGGAGAACCUUGUUGCAAACAUGUAUCAGUUAAUCAAUUUGAUCCAUUGUUGAAUAAAAGAAGUCUUAAUUAACGUGAUCAUAUGUCUUUUCAAUGUCAAACUUACACAAUAUCAAGAAAACAACAAAUAAGAUGCUUUCACCCCCUUACCUCUACCUUUUAUUGUAAACCUCGAUAGGAUUCCGCCAUCCUUAGCCCUCUUAAGAAAACAAUUGAGAUGCUUCAUAGAUAACAUAAAUAAGUCAGAAGAAAGAGGAUCCUCUCGUCCCAAGCCCUUAGAGCUUUGAAAAAAGACAGAAUAGGUAUCAUUAACAAGAAUAGAGAACCUUGUUGUAGAUAUGCGCCAUUCAAUUCAAACAAUUUUUUCCAAGAUAAAAGGCAAAUAGCCUAAUUAAUGUGAUCAUAUGCCUUUUCAAUGUCAAGUUUGGACAAGUGGUCACUUUUUAACAUAGUGUCAAUAGCCUCAUUAGAUAUAAGCAUUGCAUCUAGAAUCCUCCACAAAUGCAUUCUAAGACUUGGAUACUACUUUACCCACCACCUUUUUCCAAACUAACCCAAUUCAUUAAAAUCUCUCAGAAAUCCCACACCCUCUUCCUUCACAAAGUCCCAAUUGAACUGCUAGAAGGCUAUAGAGAACCUAUCCGGACUUGGAGCNNNNNNNNNNNNNNNNNNNNNNNNNNNNNNNNNNNNNNNNNNNNNNNNNNNNNNNNNNNNNNNNNNNNNNNNNNNNNNNNNNNNNNNNNNNNNNNNNNNNUAAGCCUCACAACCAAAAAGAAAGCAAAAAAACCCCACCAGCCCUUAUCUGGAGGCUAUCCACUCCAAGAAGCCUAUAAGAGACAGCGACCUCUCUCCACUAUACAGUCUCGCCCAACACCAUAAAUUACAGACAAAAGAAUUUUUUAAUCUUUGAAUAUCUAUCACCCCCCUAAAAGCAAGUCUAUUUCUUUCCUUCCAAAGAGUCCAAAAGAUGUACAACGGUAUAGACUUCCAUAUCUUUUUCCUUUUUUCCCCUACAAAAGGGCUCCUCCAGCUUAAUAAGACCUCCUUUACAGUUUCUGGAAAGACCCACUGAACACCAAACAAAGCACAUAUCAUAUCCCACAGGACUUUUGCCACUAUACAAUGAAUGAGGAUGUGAUUUACAGUUUCCUCUUCGCAGCCACACAAGAAGCAACGGUUAGGGAGUUGCCACCCUCUUUUCUGAAAGCCUAUCUAGCGUAAGCACCUUGCCCCAAGUAGCCUCCCAAGCAAAAAACAAAGUUUUUGUUGGAACUUUAUCCACCCAAAUGUUGUUUUUCGGAAAGUUGUUAGCCACGGUAUUAACCACCAAGUUGUAGGCUUCUUUUACUUUAAACUGCCCGUUUCUUCCCCCUUUCCAAAAAACUGCAUUCUCUUCUAAAGUAGGUUUGUAUCCCCUCAAAAUAUGAAGCAAAUUACCUACCAUAUCCAACUCCCAAUCAUUGAAACCCCUCACAAACCUUAAAUCCCAAUCUCCUUGGCCGACAUUCUGAUCCCACAUUUCUUCUAUUAUGCCAUUUCUAUGAGCAGCCAUCCCAUAAAGGUGAGGAAACCUUUGAGACAGCACUGUACAACCGCACCAAAGAUCAUUCCAAAAUCUGAUUUUGGUACCAUUCCCCAUAGUAAAAGCCAUAUUUUCCCAACACCAAUCUUUUUCCUUCAGAAUUUCCUUCCAAACCCCUACUCCAAACGUCCCAUUAGCCUUUGUCGCCAUUCAAGUCCAAUAGAGCAUUGAACAACUCUUCCUCUAAGAACAGCUCCUCUAAUUUUACUGCUUCCUACUCAUCUAAAACGUCAAAAAGCAUUCCAUGGCUACUAAAUCUCUACUCCCCUAGAUCAAAUAAUAAGUUGAGGAAAGCCCAAGCUAUCCCUUCCUUUAUCUCAUUCUCCUUAGUUAACCAAACUUCGUUCACUUUAAUCUUGGCUGGAAAGUUCCUUCCAUGUGCAUUAACCAUUUUAUGAAAGAAUUUAGAAUUUAU